UCCUUUUGCAAAAUCACAUUUUUUGUGGAGUUUUCUGUCGAUUUUCUUACAUAUUUUGGCUGUUUUUCUGUUAUUAUUAACUACUUAUGUCUCUGCUCAUACCUUCUCUGAUAUUGGAAGUGAAGAUGUUGAUAGUAGUAGAAGGAAUGAUUUGUAUUCCGAAAUCUUGAGAGAUGAGGCUGUGGCAAGGCUCAAUGAGCUUGGAAAGGUGAGUGAUGCUGAUGGGUAUCUUGAAAGGACAUUCAUGAGUGCAGCUUCUCUGAGGGCUGGAAAUCUUAUUCGUUGUUGGAUGGAGGAUGCUGGUUUGACAACGUGGUUUGACCACAUGGGCAAUUUACAUGGUCGUUUUGAAGGAAUGAAUCGAAGUGCUGAGACUUUAUUGAUUGGUUCUCAUUUGGAUACUGUUGUUGACGCUGGGAAAUUUGAUGGGUCAUUGGGCAUAAUCUCAGCAUUGUCUGCCUUAAAGGUGUUGAAAAGCAAUGGAAUGCUGGCAAAAUUAAAACGGCCUGUUGAGGUUAUUGCAUUUAGCGACGAGGAGGGA
rnacentral:misc_RNA from 1 species